rnacentral:rRNA from 1 species
GACGAACGUUGGCGGCGUGCUUAAUACAUGCAAGUCAACUGAAGCAGUGGUAGCAAUAUCGCUGUGGAGGUGGCGCACGGGUGAGUAACACGUAGGUAAUCUGCCUUCAGGUCUGGCAUAACUCCGGGAAACCGGGGCUAAUAGCAGAUGAUGCAGCGGCUCGACAUCGAGACAGUUGUUAAAGCUAUGGCGCCUGAAGAUGAGCCUGCGUCUGAUUAGCUAGUUGGCGGGGUAACGGCCCACCAAGGCAACGAUCAGUAGCUGGUCUGAGAGGAUGAUCAGCCACACUGGAACUGAGACACGGUCCAGACUCCUACGGGAGGCAGCAGUAAGGAAUAUUGCUCAAUGGGAGAAAUCCUGAAGCAGCAACGCCGCGUGAGGGACGAAGGGCUUUUGCUUGUAAACCUCUGUAGUGAGAGAAAAAAAUCCCAAUCUUUGGGACAUGAUGGUAUCUAAAAAGUAAGCCCCGGCUAACUACGUG